rnacentral:rRNA from 1 species
CCUACGGGUGGCAGCAGUAGGGAAUUUUCGUCAAUGGGCGCAAGCCUGAACGAGCAAUGCCGCGUGAACGAGGAAGGUCUUCGGAUCGUAAAGUUCUGUUGAAGGGGAAACAGAGCGGAGAGAGGAAAUGGUCUCCGAUUGAUAUUAACCUUCGAGGAAGUCACGGCUAACUACGUGCCAGCAGCCGCGGUAAUACGUAGGUGGCGAGCGUUAUCCGGAAUGAUUGGGCGUAAAGGGUGCGUAGGCGGCCUUCUAAGUCUGGAGUGAAAGGUACCGGCUCAACCGGUACAGGCGCUGGAAACUGGCGGGCUAGAGAGCAGGAGAGGGCGGUGGAACUCCAUGUGUAGCGGUAAAAUGCGUAGAUAUAUGGAAGAACACCAGUGGCGAAGGCGGCCGCCUGGCCUGUUACUGACGCUGAGGCACGAAAGCGUGGGGAGCAAAUAGGAUUAGAUACCCCAGUAGUC